rnacentral:rRNA from 1 species
ACGGGAGGCAGCAGUGGGGAAUAUUGCACAAUGGGGGAAACCCUGAUGCAGCGACGCCGCGUGAAGGAAGAAGUAUCUCGGUAUGUAAACUUCUAUCAGCAGGGAAGAUAAUGACGGUACCUGACUAAGAAGCCCCGGCUAACUACGUGCCAGCAGCCGCGGUAAUACGUAGGGGGCAAGCGUUAUCCGGAUUUACUGGGUGUAAAGGGAGCGUAGACGGAAUGGCAAGUCUGGUGUGAAAGGCAUGGGCUCAACCCGUGGACUGCACUGGAAACUGUCGUUCUUGAGUGCCGGAGGGGUAAGCGGAAUUCCUAGUGUAGCGGUGAAAUGCGUAGAUAUUAGGAGGAACACCAGUGGCGAAGGCGAUCUACUGGACGAUAACUGACGCUGAGGCGCGAAAGCGUGGGGAGCAAACAGGAUUAGAUACCCUGGUA